rnacentral:sRNA from 1 species
CACGCAGGGCAGCCGAGGCUCCGGAGCUCCUGUCCCGGCCCCAGUCCGGGUAAAAGGAAGGUUGUCCCCAGCGGAGGCGCACAGCCGCGCGUUCUCCCUGCACUCUCUCCGCGGUCCCAUCUGUUCCCCAUGGCGUCUCAUCCGCAAACCCGGAUCCAGGCUUACCUGGAGAAGAACAAGAUCGGUCCACUGUUUGAGGAAUUAAUGACCAAGUUAAUAACUGAGACACCUGACCAGCCAAUCCCAUUUCUCAUUGACCAUCUUCAGUCUAAACAAGGGAACCGUGGACAACUUCAAAGAACUUUGUCUGGAUCUGCAGCUCUAUGGGCAGAAAGCGAAAAAUCAGAAUCCAAAGGAACAAGAAGGGAUUUCAGAAGCUAUGAUAAACCUUGGCAAUUAAAUGCAAAGAAGCCUAAAAAAUCAAAAAGUGACCUUGCUGUGUCUAAUAUUUCUCCACCAUCACCGGACUCCAAAUCAUGUAUUGCAAUUUCAGAUGAACUCGAUAAGGAAACAGUGACAUUUAAUUCUUCUGUUCUGAGGCCCCGUGUGAUUGGAGAAUGGAUUGGUAGAGAAGAAAAUGAUGCUGAUCCCCUAGCUGCUGAAAUGCUACAGCCUCCAAUUCCAAGAAGCAAAAAUGACCAAUGGGAA